rnacentral:rRNA from 1 species
GACGAACCGUACGAACGUUAUUCGGAAUGACUGGGCGUAAAGGGCGCGUAGGCGGAUGGCACAGUCAGAUGUGAAAUUCCCGGGCUUAACCUGGGGGCUGCAUUUGAUACGUGUUGUCUAGAGUGAGGAAGAGGGUUGUGGAAUUCCCAGUGUAGAGGUGAAAUUCGUAGAUAUUGGGAAGAACACCGGUGGCGAAGGCGGCAACCUGGUCCUUGACUGACGCUGAGGCGCGAAAGCGUGGGGAGCAAACAGG